GACCACUCCGGUGGCCCAGUGGUUAGAGCGUCCGCCUCGGAUGCAAGAGGUUGCGGGUUCAAAAGCCGGCCAAGUCA